rnacentral:SRP_RNA from 1 species
CCGCGCUAACCGGGGAGUCAGCGGUGCCCUGUAGCCCGCAAUCCGCUACAGCGGGGGUGAAUUCCUCCCCGAGGACUCGCGAUGUGCCGUCUGACCCGCGUGUACGCGGCGAUGAAGAGCCGGUCUCGCGCAACGCGCGCUCGUGAACCAUGUCAGGCGGGGAACCGAGCAGCAUUAAGCGACGUCGCGUGUGUGCCGUGAGGGCGCCGGUUCCGAGCCGGCUGCGAGGGUAACGGGUAUAUCGCGUUUUCGGAGGGCGGUGCGCGG